GUUGUGAUUUGCUUUCAUUUAGUAUCUUUGAAAUAUUGGAAAUAGU
rnacentral:other from 1 species